AGAUUAUUUAAGCAUAUAAAUAAUGUAAACCACAUUCUCUGGUCUCUAUAUGAUAAAGCUAGAUAUUAAAUACAAAACUGGAAAGCAAAAAAAAAAGAAAGAAAGAAAGAAACAGUAAAAAGUUCAGAAAUCAAUGAUAUAGAAAUCAGAAAAACAGAAGCACCAACAUAAAUACAAAAGAUAAUUCUUGUGGAAAAAAAAAUCUAAAUAUAUAUCUAAACUGCUUAAAGGAGAAAAGGAGGUGGCAUAAAGACAGAAAAUAAGAAUAAGGAAGAAACAGCAAUAGACAAAGGAGAAAUGGAAAGAAAUUUGGUUUCCCUCAGUUGUGAAAUGGGGAAAUUAAUUCAUGCUAAUCCAUGGGACUUCAGUGAAUUAGAAUUAAUUAAUUAACAUAUUUAUUUAUUUUGUCUUUUUUUUUAGAGCCGCACACAUGGCAUAUGAAGGUUCCCAGGCUAGGGAUCUAAUUGGAGCUGUAGCCACUGGCCUACGCCACAGCCACAGUAAUGUCAGAUCCGAGCUGCGUCUGCGACCUACACCACAGCUCACAGCAACACCCGAUCCUUAACCCACUGAGUGAGGCCAGGGAUCGAGCCUGCAACCUCAUGGUUUCUAGUCAGAUCUGUUUCUGCUGUGCCAUGAUGGGAACUCCAUUAGAAUUAAUAUAUUUAAAACUUCUGAUCCUGUGUGGUACAUAGGAGGUGUUCACUUCAUGGCAAAUACCAUUGCUGCUGGUGAUGUAAGUUUAGAUGUUAGUAUUACCGUUUUUGCCCCUACUGCACUGUUGCUAGUCCUACUGCAUCCUAGUACUGCUAUGGACUAUUUCUACUAUUACUGUCCCAACUAAACUGCAAUGAUGGUAAUAACUUGCCCAGAUGCUCUUGGAACAUCUGAGAUGGACAUCUAACCCAGUUGGAGAGGACAAGGAAGCUUUGCUGAAGAGAAGCGGAACAAACUGUAUGUUCAAGUACAACUAAGAAAUGCAGGGAAGGGGGGUUCACAUUGUGGCUCAGUGGAAAUGAACCCCACUAGUAUCCAUGGGAUGUAGGUUCGAUCCCUGGCCUCGCUCAGUGGGUUAAGGAUUUGGCGUUGCCUUGAGCUGUGGUGUAGGUCACAGACAUGGCUCGGAUCCUGUGUUCCUGUGGCUGUGGGGUAGGCUGGCAGCUGCAGUUCUGAUUUGCCCCCUAGCCUGGGACCCUCCAUAUGCCGUGGGUGUGGCCCUAAAAAAAAAUAAAAAA
rnacentral:lncRNA from 1 species